rnacentral:rRNA from 1 species
CAGCAGCCGCGGGAAUACGAAGGGGGCUAGCGUUGUUCGGAUUUACUGGGCGUAAAGGGCGCGUAGGCGGACUGAUAAGUCAGGGGUGAAAUCCCAGAGCUCAACUCUGGAACUGCCUUUGAUAUUGGGUAUCUUGAGUAUGGAAGAGGUGAGUGGAAUUCCGAGUGUAGAGGUGAAAUUCGUAGAUAUUCGGAGGAACACCAGUGGCGAAGGCGGCUCACUGGUCCAUUACUGACGCUGAGGUGCGAAAGCGUGGGGAGCAAACAGGAUUAGAUACCCCAGUAGUCCCUGUCUCUUAUAC